AGAUUAAAUUCUGUUAGCAUAGCCAGUCCAGUGAUAAUAAUCAAUGGUAAUAAUAGAGGUCAGUGUCUGAAACGGAACGUAUGAACUAUAUUAUUUCUGAUUAUGAUUUACUGUUUUGCCAAAGUGACAACAAAUCACAAAUGUCAAUAUUGUCAAACAUGUGCAAGUCUACAUUUUGUAAUUAAUGUAUUUUUAUCAACACAAGAGGCAAUUCAAAACUGUUUAUUUAUCAAAACCAUACAUUCAGAUUUAUGUACAAGAAAGCAUAUGGAAGUCAGCUAUGGUAUUGUUGGUACUUCUUCAGCCGAUCCUGUCCUGCUAAACUUAGGAUAAACAAUGCUGGUAAAGUUACAGAAUGUAUCGGAAGACAUAACCAUGACCCGCCCACUUGCUGGAUGACCCCAGAUGGCAAGUCUUACAGCUUGCCACCACUUCCUGAAAGGUCUACUUAAAAUUUUAUCUGUCUGGACAGUGUGCAUUUUCAUAAACCUUGUGCAAUAUAUAUUUGGGUCAGCAGGAUACAAGAGUUUAAAACAACAGCCAUGUAUAAUAAAGGAACAAACAUUUAAAAUGCCUUUCAGUGAUUAUUAUAAAAAAUAACAGUUAUACAAAUUACAUAUUAAUGAGAUUUCUCUUAAUAUAAACAUUUUAAAAAUAUAAAAAAAUCCUAUCAUGCUCUAAGCGUAUUAAUUUUGCAUGUAUUCUCAUGGCAAUUAUGUUGUAGGCAAUUUAAAUCUCCUGUUACAAUUAUGUGUCAGUGAGUGAAGAUAAGAAAAAGUAAAUUAUUAAAAUUCCAUUGGUACCUCUUAUUGCAGUAGACUAGAUGAGCGUGUGUUUGGUGCCUACUUAAAUUGUUUUCUUUUUGCUUGGUUAACAUAAGUUUUUCAUCAAUUCAUUGUUUAAGGUAAACAUGCACUGGUUAUUGGAUAAAGAAAUCUGGAAAACUUGUAGAUUGAAAUUCUCUUUAUGAUUUUUUUCAUUGAUUUACAAUCCACUGAGACAAUUAAAAUAGCAUACUUGGGAUAGUCAGUGUGUAAUUUAUCUGUCAAGGUUACUCAAAUUUUUGUCAGAAUUUUAGUACUAAUAUUUUGUUUACAAUAUUAAAAAUUUUCUAUACUGUAAAUGUGUACAAAUCUCACUGUAUCACUGAUAAAUGAUUAUUUGGUGACAGUUGUCCAUGAACUAAACUGACAGGUGUAGAACGAGUGCCAUUAUUUUCACUUCAUGUUUGAAUAGGAUAGUUAAGUUUAGUUUUGAUUUGUGUUCAACCAAGUUAGCACCACACUACUAAUGUGACUUAUAGGGUGCCUGAUAAUUUUAGUGACAUGGAUUUUGACAUCCUGGUGCAAUAUGUGAAAUUUUAAACCUACCUUUUACCAUUUGAUUGCAAGAAAGUUAACUACAUUAUGGUAAUCGAAAGUGCAUCAUCUAGUGACAAUACUGUUUCCCAAUAUUAUAACCAGAUGGGGCUGCUUCGAUUACAUACAAGUAUAUAUCACAGGUAAAAAAUCCCACUGUUUAUUUCAUGUGUCAAUUUUUUUGUCAUUUUAAUAAUAAAUCAGGGCUAAACAAGUCAAUGCGACUGUACUUUAUCACUGAAUUCAAGUAA